rnacentral:rRNA from 1 species
UACCAGCACCCCGAGUGGUCGGGACGAUUAUUGGGCCUAAAGCAUCCGUAGCCGGUCCUGCAAGUCUUCCGUUAAAUCCAACUGCUUAACAGGUGGGCUGCGGAAGAUACUAUAGAGCUAGGAGGCGGGAGAGGCAAGCGGUACUCGAUGGGUAGGGGUAAAAUCCGUUGAUCCAUUGAAGACCACCAGUGGCGAAGGCGGCUUGCCAGAACGCGCUCGACGGUGAGGGAUGAAAGCUGGGGGAGCAAAUCGG